rnacentral:rRNA from 1 species
UACGGAGGGUGCAAGCGUUAUCCGGAUUUACUGGGCGUAAAGGGCGCGUAGGCGGCGUGACAAGUCACUUGUGAAAUCUCCGGGCUUAACUCGGAACGGCCAAGUGAUACUGUCGUGCUAGAGUGCAGAAGGGGCAAUCGGAAUUCUUGGUGUAGCGGUGAAAUGCGUAGAUAUCAAGAGGAACACCUGAGGUGAAGACGGGUUGCUGGGCUGACACUGACGCUGACAGCGCGAAAGCUAGGGGAGCAAACGGG